CACACCGCGUCUAUACCCGCGAGUACAGACCGGCACAACUUUACAUAGCGCCGUAUAAAGCUUACUUCAAUACUAAUUUUGGGUAGCGGUCGUUCCAACUGCCGUUUCAGACCUCUCGGCCUUACAUUUAGACGCCAUUUUUAAACGACAGUUUGAAACGUAUCACUUAAAUCCUAAUAUAAGUUUGCAUAUCGUAUAUCAAAGUGGUACCAAAAGAAUAUACAUAUGUACAAUAUAAAAUACUGUCUAUUUCAUGAACCAAUGUGAGUACCGUUCGUGGUUAGAUAAAAUCAAAUGAACUUAGGUAUCUCAAAUAUUAAAUUACAAGUAAUUAAUUAAACAUCUAAGCUUUUGGGUUUGUUUCGUUAUGAUGUGUCGAUCAGUGAAACAGAGCCAGGAGUCGACUCGUGAUCAGACGUGCAGCAGACCAGGUAUCGGGUGCGUAUCAUAAUGAAUACGAACUUUUGGUAUAAUUUCAGUUUACAAACGUUCAAAACGUAUACUAAUCUUAUGUAUAAUGCACUAAAUCUGUAUUUUCAAUUAGUAUAACAUAAAAAUAAUAUAACAUGCAAUAUACAUACCGCUGUUUUGAUAUAACAUACAAAUAAACUAAUUACAUUUAAUAUAACAUUCAUUAUGCAUAUAAAUUAAAUCAGUAAAAUUAUUUGGAUAGCUCAGUAUUUCAUAGGUCAUCGAAACUAAUUAAUGUUAGAAAAGUAGGUUAGGUUAGAACUGUGACCCCUCAGAGAAAGAAACUGCUACCAGAAAAGUAGGUUAGGUUAGGUUAGAACUGUGACCCCUCAGAGAAAGAAACUGCUACCAGAAAAGUAGGUUAGGUUAGAACUGUUACCAUACAGAAAAAGAAACUACUACCAUAAAAAUAGAUUAGGUUAGGUUAGAACUGUUACCCCACAGAAAAAAAACUACUGCCAUAAAAAUAGGUUAGGUUAGAACUGUGACCCUCCACAGAAAGAAACUGCUACCAGAAAAGUAGGUUAGGUUAGAAUUGUGACCCCUCAGAGAAAGAAACUGCUACCAGAAAAGUAUUAGGUUAGGUUAGAACUGUUACCCCCAGAAAAAUAAAAGGUUAGGUUUAUUGCGUGGUAUUUGUUUUGUAUAUUAUAUUAUUUCAACGUUAUACCUUUUGAUACUUAUCAUAAACGAUAUUAUAUGUAAAGUUCAUUAUACAUUAUAAAAUUAUAGAAUUCAUUGUUAUACGUAUCGCACGUUAUACUUAUUGCACGUUAUGCCAUUCAAAAUUAUACCAAUUGAAUUUAUAUAUUCUGGGCAAUAUAUUAUAGGUUUGUAUACGUUCUAUUACUUACCCCCAGGGCCCAGUUUUAUAAAGUUACAAGAGUACAGGCUACAGGCACCUGUAAUGCACUGUGAACGGCUACAGGUGUUUUAUAAAUACACAUAGAUAAUUACAGUUGUAAAGAACCACGGUCAAUCUCGAUUACAUGUGAAAUCUACAGGUGUGAAGGACAUCACUAUUUAAAAAAAACGUCUGUCAUAGAUACUCUGUGCUCUACUAAAUGCUGUGUUAUUGUUUGCUCUAAAAUAUUAAUUAUUGGAAAAAUGGCCAGAAAUGAAGAAAAAAUCGAGUGGUUGAGAGCGGUGUUCGAUGCCAAGGAUAUACUUUUCGGGCCGUUUUCAGAUUAAGUUAGAUUUAAUGAAAUAUUUACCUAAUAAGUAAAUAAGUACGUUUCACAUUACAUUAUAAAAUGUAUCGUUUCGGUAGCGACUCAAAGAUAAGUACGCUGUGUAUCGAAAAUUAUGAAUAGUACACUUUAUCAUAAUGUGAAUGCACUAUACUUAAAUAAAGAGACGAAUACUAAUAAAUCAACGACAAGUAUUGGCACCCAUCUUUUUCCGUUUCCUAGUAGAUAAAAUAAAACGUAUCAUCAAUAAAAUCAAUAUCAAACAUACGUAUUGUCACUUUAUUUCCUAUGUACUAUAUACUUCAGAUACAUUAACAAAAAAGAUAAGGUCAGUGCAUGGAAAAGUAGGUAUGCAUGCCCUGGCAAAAUCGUUGGCGUUUGCGUUGGCGUGCCUAACAAUAAAGAGUAAAGUUUAAAAUCUCACAGAAAACAAAUAAUUUUAAUUAAAAUUAAGAAUUACAGGACUCAAGACGUAAGUCAGUUUUUGUUACAAGUGUACAUCUACACUUGUAAUUUACAAUAUUUUUAUAAAACGCUUGUUCGAUUAUGAGUUUAAAACUAUAAAACUCCCGUAUUUUCGUCUAUGGUUGAGCAACAGGCACUUAUACCUGUAACCUGUAAAAUUGUAAAACAGUACUUUUACAAAACGCAAAUUGUAAAAACGGAGCAAGUGUUGCCAGUAAACGCCUAUAAACUUGUAACUUUAUAAAACUGGACCCAGGGCCCAGUUUUAUAAAGUACUUGUAACUUGUAACUUUAUAAAACUGGGCCCUGGGCCCAGUUUUAUAAAGUUACAGGUUACAAGAGUACAGGCUACAGGCACCUGUAAUGCACUGUGAACGGCUACAGGUGUUUUAUAAAUACACAUAAAUAAUUACAGUUGUAAAGAACCACGAUCAAUCUCGAUUACAUGUGAAAUCUACAGGUGUGAAGCACAUCACUAUUUAAAAAAAAACGUGUGUCAUAGAUACUCGGUUCUCUACUAAAUUAUGUGUUUUUGUUUGCUGUAAAAUAUUAAUUACUGGAGAAAUGGCCAGAAAUGAAGGAAAAAUCGAGUGGUUGAGAGCGGCGUUCCAUGCCAAGGAUAUACUUUUUGGGCCGUUUUCAGAUUCAGAUUAAGUUAGAUUUAAUGAAAUAUUUACGUAAUAAGUAAAUAACAUGUAAAUAAGUAGGUACUCUUUCACAUUCUUACAUUAAAAUGUAUCGUUUCGGUAGCGGCUCAAAGUUAAAUACGGUGUGUAUCGAAAAUUAUGAAUAGUACACUUUACCAUAAUGUGAAUGCACUAUACUUAUAUAAAGAGACGAAUGCUAAUAAAUCAACGACAAAUAUCGGCAAUAAUCCCUUUCCAUUUCCUAGUAGAUAAAAUAAAACGAAUCGUCAAUAAAAUCAAUAUCAAACAUAUUGUCACUUUAUUUCCUAUUUACUAUAUAUUUCAGAUACAUUAACAAAAACUGAUAAGGUCAGUGCAUGGAAAAGUAUGCAUGCCCUGGCACACUGUUGAGAGUAAAGUUUAAAAUCUCUCAGAAAACGAGUCUACAAGUAACUGCUGUUGUGCUGUUACAGGACUCAAGACGUAUGUAAGUUUUUGUUACAAGUGUACCAAUCUACACUUGUUUUACAAUUUUUUUAUAAAACGCCUGUUCGAUUAUGAGUUUAAAACUAUAAAACUCCCGUAUUUUCGUCUAUGGUUGAGCUACAGGCACUAGUACCUGUAACCUGUAAAAUUGUAACACAGUACUUUUAUAAAACGCAAAUUGUAAAAAACGGAGCAAGUGUUGCCAGCAAACGCCUGUAAACUUGUAACUUGUAACUUUAUAAAACUGGGCCCAGGUAUCACUUUGACCAUUGACACAGGAUGACAAUCAAAACUACGUGUCCGGUGUCAUUGAAAUAAACAUUGGCUCGAGGAAGUUUAGGAUCAUAUCUUGAACAUUUGCCUCACUGUCACCGAGCCCCGUGUCGCUGCCGACAGGUAACAUCUCACUUAAAACUAAAUCCAGUUCCAUUAUUUACAAACAAAUUAACUAAAGGUAAAACGAUUCUCGCGAACACACAAAAGAUCUUUCAAUCACAAGGGUUUUCAUUUCAUGAAAUAAAUAUCGGAAUAACAUACCUUAUAUAUAAAAAGGAAACUCGACUUACACGAAAUUAUGAGUAUGAGUG